GGGGAAUCUUGCACAAUGGGGGCAACCCUGAUGCAGCGACGCCGCGUGAGCGAUGAAGCCCUUCGGGGCGUAAAGCUCUUUCGACCGGAACGAUAAUGACGGUACCGGGAGAAGAAGCUGCGGCUAACUACGUGCCAGCAGCCGCGGUAAUACGUAGGCAGCAAGCGUUGUUCGGAGUUACUGGGCGUAAAGAGUGCGUAGGCGGUUUUCUAAGUUCGGUGUGAAAUCUCCCGGCUUAACUGGGAGGGUGCGCCGAAGACUGGGAAGCUGGAGUGUGGGAAAGGCAGGCGGAAUUCCUGGUGUAGCGGUGAAGUGCGUAGAUAUCAGGAGGAACACCGGCGGUGUAGACGGCUUGCUAGACCAUAACUGACGCUGAGGCACGAAAGCGUGGGUAGCAAACA
rnacentral:rRNA from 1 species